rnacentral:tRNA from 1 species
GCCUGGGUGGCUCAGUCGGUUGAGCGUCCGACUUCGGCUCAGGUCAUGAUCUCACGGUUUGUGGGUUCGAGCCCCGCGUCGGGCU